AUGGAGGCGGACAAGGAGAGGAACACGAAGCCGAGGCUGGACGACCAUCCGAGUGCGACGGCGUUGACGGACGAUCUCAUCCUAGAGAUUCUCUCCCGCCUCCCGGCCAGGUCCGUCCACCGCUUGAAGUGCGUCUCCGUGCCCUGACGCGACCUCAUCGCCGACCCCGCCAAACGCAAGAAGCUGUCCCAGACCCUCGCUGGCUUCCUCUACAUGACCGUCCACAAGAGCGGGCGUGGUCACCACUUCGCCAGCGUCUCCGGCGACGGAGCAGCAGCCCCGUUCGACCUCUCCCUCCCUUACUUGCACCAUAGCAAGGACGAGUGCAUGAUCCAGGUGAAUGCCUGCAGUGGCCACCUUCUCUACCGCCGCUACAAGAAAAAAAGGGAUGAUUUCCGUUUUGUCGUGUGCAAUCCCAUCACCCGGAGGUGGGUGGAGCUGCCCUCGCUGCCCCAUCCGGUGACGGUCAACAUACUUAGCCGUACCACAGGGCUGGCUUUCGAUCCCACCGAAUCAUCCCAUUUCCACGUUCUUCAAUUUGAGCAGACCGUUCAGGAACCCUACGUCACAGGAGUGAACAUUUACUCGUCGCGGACACGAGCCUGGACUCAUAGGGAUUGUGAGAUGGCUGAGAAAGUUAAGCUAUUCUUCGGGAUUAGAUGCGUCUAUGUUGGUGGCAUGCUCUACCUGAUGGGCUGCCUUAAACGCAAUGGCGGUCAUCUGCUGCUGGGGGUGGACAUGGAGGGCAAAGUGUGGAAGACCAUCAGUCUGCCGUUCGGCCGAAGGUUUGGUGCGAUUGGAUCGUCGCAGGGGUGCUUACACUACGCUGUAGCUUCCCGCAAUUAUAACAAUAAAAUCUUUGGGUUAGAACUGUGGUGCCUCAAGGAUUACGAUAGUAAAGAUUUGGUCCUGAAGCAUACUGCGGGCUUCGAUAAGCUUAUGAGCAUGACUGGGAAGCAGUACAGGGCGGAAGAGAUUCAUCCAGAUUGCGACAUCAUUUUCCUCGUCUCAUGUUUAGGUGAUACCUUGGUAGAAUAUGAUAUGCGGCAUCAGAAAGUUGGGUGUGUCCUUGAUCUUGAGAAGAGAAACACACAACUAUUUCUACCCUAUGCUCCUCUCUACUCAGAGGCAUUAGCAGACACAGAUGGACAGUAG
rnacentral:rRNA from 1 species